UACGUAGGGUGCAAGCGUUAAUCGGAAUUACUGGGCGUAAAGCGUGCGCAGGCGGUUGUGCAAGACAGGUGUGAAAGCCCCGGGCUCAACCUGGGAAUGGCAUUUGAUACUCGAGGGCUUGAGUACGGGAGAGGAGAGUGGAAUUCCCAGUGUAGAGGUGAAAUUCGUAGAUAUUGGGAAGAACACCGGUGGCGAAGGCGGCUCUCUGGACCGUAACUGACGCUGAGGCGCGAAAGCGUGGGGAGCAAACAGG
rnacentral:rRNA from 1 species